GCUUGUCUCAAAGAUUAAGCCAUGCAUGUCUCAGCAUAAGCUUCAACACGGUGAAACUGCAAAUGGCUCAUUAAAGCAGUUACAAUUUAUUUGAUGGUCACUGUUACAUGGAUAACUGUGGUAAUUCUAGAGCUAAUACAUGCAUCAAAACCUGACUCUUGGGAAGGGUUGUGUUUAUUAGAUACAAAACCAAUGCAAGCUACGCUUGACCUUUUGGUGAUUCAUGGUAACCGAACGAAUCGCACGGCACCAGCUGGCGGACCUAUCAGCUUCCGACGGUAGGAUAUGGGCCUACCGUGGCAAUGACGGGUAACGGAGAAUUAGGGUUCGAUUCCGGAGAGGGAGCCUGAGAAACGGCUACCACAUCUAAGGAAGGCAGCAGG
rnacentral:rRNA from 1 species